rnacentral:rRNA from 1 species
GACCUUCGGGCCUCUUGCCAUCGGAUGUGCCCAGAUGGGAUUAGCUAGUAGGUGGGGUAACGGCUCACCUAGGCGACGAUCCCUAGCUGGUCUGAGAGGAUGACCAGCCACACUGGAACUGAGACACGGUCCAGACUCCUACGGGAGGCAGCAGUGGGGAAUAUUGCACAAUGGGCGCAAGCCUGAUGCAGCCAUGCCGCGUGUAUGAAGAAGGCCUUCGGGUUGUAAAGUACUUUCAGCGGGGAGGAAGGGAGUAAAGUUAAUACCUUUGCUCAUUGACGUUACCCGCAGAAGAAGCACCGGCUAACUCCGUGCCAGCAGCCGCGGUAAUACGGAGGGUGCAAGCGUUAAUCGGAAUUACUGGGCGUAAAGCGCACGCAGGCGGUUUGUUAAGUCAGAUGUGAAAUCCCCGGGCUCAACCUGGGAACUGCAUCUGAUACUGGCAAGCUUGAGUCUCGUAGAGGGGGGUAGAAUUCCAGGUGUAGCGGUGAAAUGCGUAGAGAUCUGGAGGAAUACCGGUGGCGAAGGCGGCCCCCUGGACGAAGACUGACGCUCAGGUGCGAAAGCGUGGGGAGCAAACAGGAUU